AUGAAAUAAAUAUGAAACCUACCAUAAAAAAUUAAUAUUUUUUAGUAAUUUCAGGUAGAAAUAUCUAUUUUGUA
rnacentral:tRNA from 1 species